ensembl:lncRNA
CUAGAUUUCAGUCUUGGUUCGAUGUGGCACUUACUGAUUUUUGUUUCCAUGAGAUGCCAUAGCAACAAAGGAGGACGCACAGGACAUUCUCCAAACACCCAACAGGGCCGACAUCCCCGUUAUUUGCAAGAGGAAGCGACGCAGGUAUAGAGGGUACAGGUUGCUGUCCUUCUCGGCAGAAUAUGUCCAGCAAGCCAGCAAAGUAUGGCAUCAAUAUAUGGGUGGCCUGUGAUGCACAAUCCAGCUACACUUGGAGAUGCAAGUCUACACAUGGAAGCCGACCAGUGGAGGCCCAGAGAAGAACUUGAUGUGACAGAUGGACUGAGGGGGCACAAUGUCACGUAUGACAAUUUCUUCACCACUUAUGAACUCAGCCAGCAGCUCCUGAAGAGGAAGAUCACCAUGGUUGGCAUGGCUGAGCUCCCCCCUGCACUCCUCGCAACAAGGGGGAGAGAGGCCUUCUCAUCAAAGUUUGCCUUCACCUCCACCACCACUCUAGUUUCUACCUCCCAAAGAGGAACAAGAAUGUGGUGCUCCUGAGAACACUGCACAAAACGGCUGAGAUCAGUAAUCGUGAGGACAGGAAGCUAGCCAUCAUUUUGGAUUACAACCACAACAAAGGAGGCGUGGGCAAGCUGAUUGGAACUUACAGCUGCAGGAGGAUGACUGCCCGCUGGCCCCUGGUCAUCUUCCAUAACAUCAUGGAUGUGUACUCAUUCA